GCUAGAGCUAUAUCUCCGUGCAGUUCUUGCCUGGUUUUCCUCUGAAGCUAAGUAGAGUUGAGCCUGGUCUGUACCUGGAUGGGAGACCUCCUGGGGAAAUCUUAGGUUGCUGCUGGAA
rnacentral:rRNA from 1 species